rnacentral:ncRNA from 1 species
GUAUUGUAUGAAAGGAGAGAAGGUUAGCACUCCCCUUGACAAUGAUGGAAGAGGCCCUCGGGCCUGACAACACGCAUACGGUUAAUGUAUAGAAUACUUAGAAUGCCUUUUAUUUUC